rnacentral:rRNA from 1 species
UGGGGAAUAUUGCACAAUGGGCGCAAGCCUGAUGCAGCCAUGCCGCGUGUAUGAAGAAGGCCUUCGGGUUGUAAAGUACUUUCAGCGGGGAGGAAGGCGAUAAGGUUAAUAACCUUGUCGAUUGACGUUACCCGCAGAAGAAGCACCGGCUAACUCCGUGCCAGCAGCCGCGGUAAUACGGAGGGUGCAAGCGUUAAUCGGAAUUACUGGGCGUAAAGCGCACGCAGGCGGUCUGUCAAGUCGGAUGUGAAAUCCCCGGGCUCGACCUGGGAACUGCAUUCGAAACUGGCAGGCUAGAGUCUUGUAGAGGGGGGUAGAAUUCCAGGUGUAGCGGUGAAAUGCGUAGAGAUCUGGAGGAAUAUCGGUGGCGAAGGCGGCCCCCUGGACAAAGACUGACGCUCAGGUGCGAAAGCGUGGGGAGCAAACA